rnacentral:lncRNA from 1 species
AAAUCGCUUAUCAGCUCUGCUGUCGUUAUUCCAAACUUUCAUUCUUUAAUUUUGCAUGCAAAUCAGAAACCAAAAGCCUAGUGCAAGUCCUGAAGGUUCUCUCUGACUACAGAUCAUACUUGGAACAUAGCAGUACAUAUUACUAAAGAAGAAGAAAAGGAAAGAAAAGAAUAUUAUGAAAGCAACUACUCUGAAUUGAUCAGAACUUAACCAUGAAAGCAAAUGAAAGAGGGG